UAGAAGUUAGUUAAAUAACAAUAAUAUAAACUUGUCAUGUUUAAGUUGCCAGACACAUCUAA
rnacentral:tRNA from 1 species